GAGUUUGAUCCUGGCUCAGGAUGAACGCUGGCGGCGUGCUUAACACAUGCAAGUCGAACGAAGCACCUGAAAACAAUUCUUCGGAUGCGUUUUCUUGUGACUGAGUGGCGGACGGGUGAGUAACGCGUGGGUAACCUACCUCAUACAGGGGGAUAACAGUUAGAAAUGACUGCUAAUACCGCAUAUGCAUUUAGUGCCGCAUGGUACAGAAUGGAAAACUUUUGUGGUAUGAGAUGGACCCGCGUCUGAUUAGCUGGUUGGUAAGGUAACGGCUUACCAAGGCGACGAUCAGUAGCCGACUUGAGAGAGUGAUCGGCCACAUUGGGACUGAGACACGGCCCAAACUCCUACGGGAGGCAGCAGUGGGGAAUAUUGCACAAUGGGGGAAACCCUGAUGCAGCGACGCCGCGUGAAGGACGAAGUAUUUCGGUAUGUAAACUUCUAUCAGCAAGGAAGAUAAUGACGGUACUUGACUAAGAAGCCCCGGCUAAAUACGUGCCAGCAGCCGCGGUAAUACGUAUGGGGCAAGCGUUAUCCGGAUUUACUGGGUGUAAAGGGAGCGUACGUGGUAUGGCAAGUCACAUGUGAAAGCCCGGGGCUCAACUCCGGGACUGCAUCUGAAACUGUCAGACUAUAGUGCAGGAGAGGAAAGCGGAAUUCCUAGUGUACCGGUGAAAUGCGUAGAUAUUACGACGAACCCCAGUGGCGAAGGCGGCUUUCUGGACUGUAACUGACACUGAGGCUCGAAAGCGUGGGAGCAGACAGGAUUAGAUAUCGUGGUAUCCCACGCCGUAAACGAUGGAUACUAGGUGGAGGGGACCAAAAGUUCUUCGGUGCCGCCGCUAACGCAUUAAGUAUUCCACGUGGGGAGUACGUUCGCAAGAAUGAAACUCAAAGGAAUUGACGGGGACCCGCACAAGCGGUGGAGCAUGUGGUUUAAUUCGACGCAACGCGAAGAACCUUACCUGCUCUUGACAUCCCACUGACCGCAGGGUAAUGCGUGCUUUUCUUCGGAACAGUGGUGACAGGUGGUGCAUGGUUGUCGUCAGCUCGUGUCGUGAGAUGUUGGGUUAAGUCCCGCAACGAGCGCAACCCCUAUCUUUAGUAGCCAGCAGUUCGGCUGGGCACUCUAGAGAGACUGCCAGGGAUAACCUGGAGGAAGGCGGGGAUGACGUCAAAUCAUCAUGCCCCUUAUGAGCAGGGCUACACACGUGCUACAAUGGCGUAAACAAAGGGAAGCGAUACUGUGAGGUGGAGCAAAUCCCAAAAAUAACGUCUCAGUUCGGAUUGUAGUCUGCAACUCGACUACAUGAAGCUGGAAUCGCUAGUAAUCGCGAAUCAGAAUGUCGCGGUGAAUACGUUCCCGGGUCUUGUACACACCGCCCGUC
rnacentral:rRNA from 1 species